rnacentral:lncRNA from 1 species
UAGGAUGAUUAUAGACUUGUAGUUAAUUAUUUAUGAAUUGUGAGAUAUUGGUUUAAUAUUUGAUUUUGAGAUUUAGAUGCUCUGAACCGAUCUUGAUUUAUUUACUUGAUGAAUAAUAGAAUUGAAUCUCUUAUUGUAUUUUAUUUAAAAGGGAUUUUAGCUGACUAUGAUGGAUAGACUUUGUGUUAUCAUGGGCUCCAUCCCUUGAUAGCAUGGCCAUAUUAUAUCUUGAAUUUAGGGCGUGACAGUUAUAGCACUUGUUAGGCAAUUACAACAUGA